UCCUUGGUGGUCUAGUGGUCAAGACUUUGCGCUUCCAUUGCAGGAGGUAUAGGUUUGAUCCCUGGUCAGGGAA
rnacentral:tRNA from 1 species